AUUGAACGCUGGCGGCAGGCCUAACACAUGCAAGUCGAACGGUAACAGGAAACAGCUUGCUGCUUCGCUGACGAGUGGCGGACGGGUGAGUAAUGUCUGGGAAACUGCCUGAUGGAGGGGGAUAACCACUGGAAACGGUAGCUAAUACCGCAUAACGUCGCAAGACUAAAGAGGGGGACCUUCGGGACUCUUGCCAUCGGAUGUGCCCAGUGGGGAUUAGCUAGUAGGAGGGGUAACGGCUCACCUAGGCGACGAUCAUUAGCUGGUCUGAUAGAGUGACCAGCCACACGGGAACGGAUACAAGGUCCAGACUCCUACGCGAGGCAGCAUCAGGGAAUAUUGCACAAGGGGCGCAAGCCUGAUGCAGCCAUGCCGCGUGUAUGAAGAAGGCCUUCGGGUUGUAAAGUACUUUCAGCGGGGAGGAAGGGAGUAAAGUCAAUACCUUUGCUCAUUGACGUUACCCGCAGAAGAAGCACCGGCUAACUCCGUGCCAGCCGCCGCCGUAA
rnacentral:rRNA from 1 species